rnacentral:rRNA from 1 species
GAUGAACGCUAGCGGCAGGCUUAACACAUGCAAGUCGAGGGGUAUAGUUCUUCGGAAUUAGAGACCGGCGCACGGGUGCGUAACGCGUAUGCAAUCUACCUUUCACAGAGGGAUAGCCCCAGAGAAAUUUGGAUUAAUACCUCAUAGUAUAGCAGUUUCGCAUGAAACCACUAUUAAAGUCACAACGGUGAAAGAUGAGCAUGCGUCCCAUUAGCUAGUUGGUAAGGUGACGGCUUACCAAGGCAACGAUGGGUAGGGGUCCUGAGAGGGAGAUCCCCCACACUGGUACUGAGACACGGACCAGACUCCUACGGGAGGCAGCAGUGAGGAAUAUUGGACAAUGGGCGCAAGCCUGAUCCAGCCAUGCCGCGUGCAGGAUGACGGUCCUAUGGAUUGUAAACUGCUUUUAUACAGGAAGAAACACUACUCGUGAAGUAGCUUGACGGUACUGUAAGAUAGGGAUCGGCUAACUCCGUGCCAG